rnacentral:rRNA from 1 species
CCUACGGGCGGCAGCAGUGAGGAAUAUUGGUCAAUGGGCGCGAGCCUGAACCAGCCAAGUAGCGUGAAGGAUGACUGCCCUACGGGUUGUAAACUUCUUUUAUAAGGGAAUAAAGUGAGGCACGUGUGCCUUUUUGUAUGUACUUUAUGAAUAAGGAUCGGCUAACUCCGUGCCAGCAGCCGCGGUAAUACGGAGGAUCCGAGCGUUAUCCGGAUUUAUUGGGUUUAAAGGGCGCGUAGAUGGUUUGUUAAGUCAGUUGUGAAAGUUUGCGGCUCAACCGUAAAAUUGCAGUUGAUACUGGAAGCCUUGAGUACAGUUGAGGUAGGCGGAAUUCGUGGUGGAGCGGUGAAAUGCUUAGAUAGCACGAAGAACUCCGAUUGCGAAGGCAGCUUACUAAACUGCCACUGACAUUGAUGCUCGAAAGUGUGGGUAUCAAACAGGAUUAGAUACCCGAGUAGUC